rnacentral:lncRNA from 1 species
GGCUGGUAAGGGCUUCCAUUUCUCAAUACCCUAAAGAGAAAACGUUUGCAAUGAUCAGGGCCACUAUCAUGGACCAAUAGAAAUUCAGGUGGUUGCCACCUUCUCUUAUUUCAGAUUUCCAUCAAAGCAGACACAGGAUGUUUGCCUGGCAGAUCUUUCAUUGCAGCAGAGAAGUUCCCAGACCUCUUUUUUGCUCUUUCUCCUACUGCAACAAGACCUUUUCGGUCUGUCUUAAAAUCAACUAGGAUGGGUUCCUUAUUGCCUUCUUUGUUUUUUCCUAAUCCUUCUCCUUCUCUCCAGCCCAUUUUC